rnacentral:rRNA from 1 species
GGGCCCGCACAAGCGGUGGAGCAUGUGGUUUAAUUCGACGCGACGCGAAGAACCUUACCCAGGCUUGACAUGCAUUGGACGGGUGUGGAAACACACCUUCCCUUCGGGGCCGAUGCACAGGUGCUGCAUGGCUGUCGUCAGCUCGUGUCGUGAGAUGUUGGGUUAAGUCCCGCAACGAGCGCAACCCUUGUUCUUAGUUGCUAACGGGUAAUGCUGAGCACUCUAAGGAGACUGCCGGUGGUAAACCGGAGGAAGGUGGGGAUGACGUCAAGUCCUCAUGGCCCUUACGCCUGGGGCUACACACGUGCUACAAUGGCCGGUACAGAGGGUUCCGAUACCGCGAGGUGGAGGCAAUCCCAAAAAACCGGUCUCAGUUCGGAUUGCAGUCUGCAACUCGACUGCAUGAAGUUGGAAUCGCUAGUAAUCGCUGAUCAGCAGGCAGCGGUGAAUACGUUCCCGGGCCUU